UACGUAGGGUGCAAGCGUUGUCCGGAAUUAUUUGGGCGUAAAGAGCUCGUAGGCGGUUUGUCGCGUCUGCUGUGAAAACUCAGGGCUUAACCCUGAGCUUGCAGUGGGUACGGGCAGACUAGAGUGCGGUAGGGGAGACUGGAAUUCCUGGUGUAGCGGUGGAAUGCGCAGAUAUCAGGAGGAACACCGGUGGGCGAAGGCGGGUCUCUGGGCAGUAACUGACGCUGGAGGAGCGAAAGCCGUGGGGAGCGAACAGG
rnacentral:rRNA from 1 species